rnacentral:rRNA from 1 species
GACGAACGCUGGCGGCGUGCUUAACACAUGCAAGUCGAACGGAAAGGCCCUGCUUUUGUGGGGUGCUCGAGUGGCGAACGGGUGAGUAACACGUGAGUAACCUGCCCUUGACUUUGGGAUAACUUCAGGAAACUGGGGCUAAUACCGGAUAGGAGCUCCUGCUGCAUGGUGGGGGUUGGAAAGUUUCGGCGGUUGGGGAUGGACUCGCGGCUUAUCAGCUUGUUGGUGGGGUAGUGGCUUACAAAGGCUUUGACGGGUCGCCGGCCUGAGAGGGUGACCGGCGACAUUGGGACUGAGAUACGGACCAGACUCCUACGGGAGGCAGCAGUGGAGAAUAUUGCACAAUAGGCGGAAGCCUGAUGCAGCAACGCCGCGGGCGGGAUGACGGCCUUCGGGUUGUAAACCGCUUUCGCCUGUGACGAAGCGUGAGUGACGGUAAUGGGUAAAGAAGCACCGGCUAACUACGUG